CUUUGUGAAGGUGGGUGCGUGCGAGUGUGGUCUCUGUUACCCUGUCUGUAACAUGGAGAGGAUAACCCCAGCUCAAAGGCCUCCCUCAGGUCUGCUGAGAGGAUCAAGUGGGAUAUCAUCUGAUAAAGUGAUUUGACUUUUACAAAGGACUGUCCAAAUAGAAGGUUGUGGUGUUAUCUCUGACAUCUGAAGCGAGGUCCUUGGAUGUUCCUGGAGUCAAACCUGACAACAAGGAAACUUUCAGCAUGACCGAGAAAAGGGUCUCCCUUAGCUCAGCUCCUGGGAGGGCCCCUGAAGGAGAUAUAAAAUGUGAGUCUGUGGGUGGGAGUGAUUGUGCUGGGCAUAUUUAAUGUAUGUCAGCAUUCACUCACACUUUUGAGUGUGCACAUCUUAUUUCUUGUAUAUACAAAACUGAUGUGUGUGAAUGCCUGUGUCAAUAUGGUGGGCAGAGAGGGUCAUUUAUUCGUUCAUUCCAGGAAUGAGUUUUGAGGAUUUACUCUGCUCUCUAGAUGCUGGAGAUUCAGUGGAGAACAAGACAGACUAGCAUUUGCAUGUACGUAAGAGUGUUUAUA
rnacentral:lncRNA from 10 species